GAUGAACGCUGGCGGCGUGCCUAAUACAUGCAAGUCGAGCGAAUGGAUUAAGAGCUUGCUCUUAUGAAGUUAGCGGCGGACGGGUGAGUACACGUGGGUAACCUGCCCAUAAGACUGGGAUAACUCCGGGAAACCGGGGCUAAUACCGGAUAACAUUUUGAACCGCAUGGUUCGAAAUUGAAAGGCGGCUUCGGCUGUCACUUAUGGAUGGACCCGCGUCGCAUUAGCUAGUUGGUGAGGUAACGGGUCACCAAGGCAACGAUGCGUAGCCGACCUGAGAGGGUGAUCGGCCACACUGGGACUGGAACACGGCCCAGACUCCUACGGGAGGCAGCAGUAGGGAAUCGUCCGCAAUGGACGAAAGUCUGACGGAGCAACGCCGCGUGAGUGAUGAAGGCUGUCGGGUCGUAAAACUCUGUUGUUAGGGAAGAACAAGUGCUAGUUGAAUAAGCUGGCACCUUGACGGUACCUAACCAGAAAGCCACGGCUAACUACGUGCCAGCCGCCGCGGUAA
rnacentral:rRNA from 1 species